AUGGCAAUUUUAGCUAACAGUUCUACAUGGUAUUCUUCAGAAAGUGCUAAGGCUGUAGAUUGUACCCUCUCCCAGGUGAAGCUGCAGGAGUCAGGAUCUGACCUGAUGAAGCCCUUGCACACCCUAUCCCUUACCUGUUCUGUCUCUGGAUUCUCCAUCACAACCAGUGGUCACUGCUGGCAUUGGAUCCGCCAACCACCAGGAACAGGACUGGAAUGGAUGGGUGUUGUAUGUCCUGAUGGUAGUACUGCCUACAGCUCACCCCUCAAGAGCCGCAUCUCCAUCUCCAGAGACACGGCCAAGAACCAGUUCUCCCUGCACCUGAGCUCUGUGGCCACAGAGGACACAGCCAUGUAUUUCUGUUCCACAUACACAGUGAAGGAAUUUUAG